AAAAUACGAUGCCAAUAACCUCGUCUCGAGGUCGGCAGAGACGGUCAUCAGACCGGCGAAACCGAUCGAGAACGAAAAUCCUUUGGUUGAACGAACAACAGCUAGUUGUUCACUUCAGCCAGUGAAACAACCCUUCGAGGGUAAGAGUUUCCACGGUCUUCGGACCGUUGGAGCCAAACAUCAACGGAGAGUUUGAUCCUGGCUCAGGACGAACGCUGGCGGCGUGCUUAACACAUGCAAGUCGAACGGUGACGAGGAGCUUGCUCCUCUGAUCAGUGGCGAACGGGUGAGUAACACGUGAGCAACCUGCCCCAGACUCUGGGAUAACAGUUGGAAACAGCUGCUAAUACCGGAUACGAGACGGAGAGGCAUCUCUACCGUCUGGAAAGUUUUCGGUCUGGGGAUGGACUCGCGGCCUAUCAGCUAGUUGGUGAGGUAAUGGCUCACCAAGGCGACGACGGGUAGCCGGCCUGAGAGGGCGACCGGCCACACUGGGACUGAGACACGGCCCAGACUCCUAC
rnacentral:rRNA from 1 species